UACUAAGGUACAAUUACUUUAGCUGAUGGAGUUUCUCAUGACUUUCCUACAGAGCGGUUUCACAUCAGAGCAUCUGUCGUUUCAUUACUGAACCAGCUCUAAAGAGUUUGUCUCUUCAUAUUUGUGGACUGAAACUGUUGAAGAUGUUUGACAGAUUUUGGUUCUGUUUGUGUUUGUGGAAUCUGAUUGGUGUGUUUGCUGAUUCAGAUGCAGAGAAGUCAGUCUCAGUGAUGCAGGGAGAUUCAGUCUCUCUUGAAUCUGGUGUCACUCAAAUACAGAAAGGUAAUCGGAUGUACUGAACAUUUGGACUUUCAAAGCUUCGUAUAGCUAUAAUCAUAUAUGAUGGGAUCUUCUCCACAUAUGAUGUUCUUGAUGGGAAAUUCAGAGACCGACUGAAGGCGGAUCAUCAGACUGGAUCUCUGAUCAUCACAAACACCAGAACCACAGACUCUGGACUUUAUCAAGUAACCAUCAAUAGCACGAAAAACCACAUACAGAUUCAGUGUUACUGUCUCUGACUCUGUUCGAUGUUGUGAUUCUGCUGAAGCUGUGAUCCGAUUGGUCGUCACUGCUCUGGUGGGCGUGGCUGCAGCUGCUGCUAUUGUUGUUCUGGUUUAUGACAUCAGAUCCA